rnacentral:rRNA from 1 species
GAUGAACGCUGGCGGCGUGCUUAACACAUGCAAGUCGAACGAUGAAGCCCAGCUUGCUGGGUGGAUUAGUGGCGAACGGGUGAGUAACACGUGAGUAACCUGCCCUUAACUCUGGGAUAAGCCUGGGAAACUGGGUCUAAUACCGGAUAGGAGCGUCCACCGCAUGGUGGGUGUUGGAAAGAUUUAUCGGUUUUGGAUGGACUCGCGGCCUAUCAGCUUGUUGGUGAGGUAAUGGCUCACCAAGGCGACGACGGGUAGCCGGCCUGAGAGGGUAACCGGCCACACUGGGACUGAGACACGGCCCAGACUCCUACGGGAGGCAGCAGUGGGGAAUAUUGCACAAUGGGCGCAAGCCUGAUGCAGCGACGCCGCGUGAGGGAUGACGGCCUUCGGGUUGUAAACCUCUUUCAGUAGGGAAGAAGCGAAAGUGACGGUACCUGCAGAAGAAGCACCGACUAACUACGUG